rnacentral:rRNA from 1 species
GACGAACGCUGGCGGCGUGCCUAACACAUGCAAGUGGAGCGACGAACCGGGCUUCGGCCCGGGGCAAAGCCGCGAACGGGUGAGUAACACGUGGGUAACCUGCCCUGAUGAUUGGGACAACCCGAGGAAACUCGGGCUAAUACCGAAUGUGCCCUCCGACCAUAAGGUCGCUGGGGAAAGGAAGCUUCGGCCUCCGCAUCGGGAUGGGCCCGCGGCCCAUUAGCUUGUUGGUGAGGUAACGGCUCACCAAGGCGACGAUGGGUAGCUGGUCUGAGAGGACGAUCAGCCACACUGGGACUGAGACACGGCCCAGACUCCUACGGGAGGCAGCAGUGGGGAAUCUUGCGCAAUGCGCGAAAGCGUGACGCAGCAACGCCGCGUGGGGAAGAAGGCCU